CCCAACCCUAAAAGGGCUGUUUCUCCUAUAAAAGCAACGCCAUCUCCACAUCUAUAUCCGCCCCUCGGCUUGGCAAUGCUGGCAUCCCAAUUUCCAAAAGAAUGAUUUAGUAUGCGUAGGAGUAGCCAUGGGGAUUGGGAGGAGUUUUCUCGGUGAUGAACAAAAAUGAUGACGAGUCCGAUAUCCAUUCUUUUUAUAAUCGUGACGACAAACCGAGGCAUUUGUCUGAGAGACAACUCCGUACCCAUCUAAUGAUCUAAUCUCGUAUUGUUUUGUUUUUAAUGUUUUUGAGAUUGUCAGGCAUAAUGAUGAUGAAUUUGUGUGACUGAUUCUUUUAUAUGAAGAAUUAAUUACCUCCUACUCAUACUGAAUGCUUGAUGAUGAAACAAA